AUCACUUCUUGGCCUUUUGGCUAAGAUCAAGAGUAGUAUCUGUUCUUAUCAGUUUAAUAUCUGAUACGUCCUCUAUCCUAGGACAAUAUAUUACAUGGAUUUUUGGAAUUGGGAGUUGGAAUAGGAACUUGCUCCAUCCGCUUUGCCCAUCGACCUGGUAUUGCAGUACCUCCUAGAAUGCUGCACCCCCA